rnacentral:tRNA from 2 species
GGCGCAUUCGUCUAAGGGUUAGGACACGGGCCUUUCAAGCCCGUAGUAGGGGUUCGAGUCCCCUAUGCGCCA